rnacentral:ncRNA from 2 species
GUUGAAGCGCAUCGUCGAGGUUCCCCGCCACAGGCAUGUGGCGGGGCUAAGACGGGAAGCCGGUGAUGUCCCUGAAGGACAAAAUCCGGCGCUGCCCCCGCAACUGUAAGCGGCGAGCGGCGGUUCCUUUUCGUGUCACUGGGCCUCGCAACAGGUUCGGGAAGGCCGGGACUGCCGUGUUGACCCGCAAGCCAGGAGACCUGCCUCCGACGCGAUAGAUGU